rnacentral:lncRNA from 1 species
CAUCAGUGAUUUUGAACUUACUGCCCUGGAGGCAUCCUGUUCGCUUCCUCGUGCUGCACACGCUUUUCUCUCUCUCUCCCUGGGAGCUUCACCACCAAGAUGGUUCUCCGGUUGGAUGGGGAAGGAAAUGGGUCGCCACCACCCAGGACGUACAGUGCUGGAAUUCAUUAUAAUAUAGCCUUCACCAGGCCCAAGGGGUCGCGGUCAUUUGCUGAAUGACUCCUUACCGGUGUCUCUAAAUUCCGUCCACUCUGCGGUUUCUUGCUGCCAACGCUUGACUCAAUGUCCUUUGAAGAUGACCCUUGUCACCGUGAGCCAUGAUUUUUCUUCUGCAAGAGGAGCCACAUCCUACCAUUCUCGUUUGACUCCCUGCACUGUCACCUCAAGAUUUGCCACUAGCCUUGGAAUCCAUAUUGACUUUCAGGGAUCCUUAGAACCUUACAGUCGCUCCCCUUUGAUUGCUUUUAUAAAGAAAAUGCCGGAAGCCCAGGGCCUGUGCUAUCCCAUGCUUAGUCUAAGACAAAGCUCUAAAGUGUUGGUCCCUGUGUCUUUCUGGGUUCUCAAGAGAGCCUUUCGGGGAACAGGUUUCUUGGAGUGUCAAAUCCAAAAGACCAGAUCAAGUCAUACAUAGCCCAUAGAGUUCAAGGUCCUGUCUCCUUUAAAUAGAAAAGGGCCUAUAGCUAUGCAUUUUCCCCAUGUCCUUUGGGUGAUUAUGACACCCAUCAGUGUUUGAGAACAGUGAAGAAAGUGGAUUAAGGAACUGAAAUCCCCCAAACCCAGACAAUUUUCCUUGGUUACCUCAAAAAAUGUCUUUUAUGGAUAUUUUAUUUCUAAUUCUGUACCAAGUAAGAU